rnacentral:rRNA from 1 species
UACGGAGGGGGCUAGCGUUGUUCGGAAUUACUGGGCGUAAAGCGCACGUAGGCGGCUUUGUAAGUUAGAGGUGAAAGCCCGGGGCUCAACCCCGGAAUUGCCUUUUAAGACUGCAUCGCUAGAAAUUGUGGAGAGGUAAGUGGAAUUCCGAGUGUAGAGGUGAAAUUCGUAGAUAUCGGAAGAACACCAGUGGCGAAGGCGACUUACUGGACACAUAUUGACGCUGAGGUGCGAAAAGCGUGGGGAGCAACAGG